AGCAGCCGCGGUAAUUCCAGCUCCAAUAGCGUAUAUUAAAGUUGUUGCAGUUAAAAAGCUCGUAGUUGAAUUUCGGGAUCAGUAUGUUGGUCGUGCUUCGGUACGUACUGUCAUUACUGGUUUCUACCUUCUGAAGAACCUUGAUGUCAUUAAUUUGGUGUCUUGGGGAAUCAGGACUGUUACUUUGAAAAAUUAGAGUGUUUAAAGCAAGCAUACGCUUGAAUACAUUAGCAUGGAAUAAUGAAAUAGGACGUUUGAUUCUAUUUUGUUGGUUUCUAGGAUCGACGUAAUGAUUAAUAGGGAUAGUUGGGGGCAUUAGUAUUCAAUUGUCAGAGGUGAAAUUCUUGGAUUUAUUGAAGACUAACUACUGCGAAAGCAUUUGCCAAGGAUGUUUUCAUUAAUCAAGAACGAAAGUUAGGGGAUCGAAGACGAUCAGAUACCGUCGUAGUCUUAACCAUAAACUAUGCCGACUAGGGAUCGGAUGAUGUAUUUUUAAUG
rnacentral:rRNA from 1 species